rnacentral:miRNA from 1 species
CAUAUGUAUAUAUGUGUGUGUGUGUGUACAUGUGUGUAUAUACACAUAUACAU